CUCAAAGGAAUUGACGGGGACCCGCACAAGCGGUGGAUGAUGUGGUUUAAUUCGAUGCAACGCGAAAAACCUUACCCACCUUUGACAUGUACGGAAUUUGCCAGAGAUGGCUUAGUGCUCGAAAGAGAGCCGUAACACAGGUGCUGCAUGGCUGUCGUCAGCUCGUGUCGUGAGAUGUUGGGUUAAGUCCCGCAACGAGCGCAACCCUUGUCAUUAGUUGCUACAUUCAGUUGGGCACUCUAAUGAGACUGCCGGUGACAAACCGGAGGAAGGUGGGGAUGACGUCAAGUCCUCAUGGCCCUUAUAGGUGGGGCUACACACGUCAUACAAUGGCCGGUACAAAGGGUCGCAAACCCGCGAGGGGGAGCCAAUCCAUCAAAGCCGGUCGUAGUCCGGAUCGCAGUCUGCAACUCGACUGCGUGAAGUCGGAAUCGCUAGUAAUCGUGGAUCAGCAUGUCACGGUGAAUACGUUCCCGGGUCUUGUGCACACCGCCCGUCAC
rnacentral:rRNA from 1 species